UAGAUUUUUCUUUUCGGGGCAACGUUAUCUGCGACUGCGAUACAUCAGCAGCUCAGCUGACGAUUUCAGUUCUCUCUUCUAAAGAAAUCUUCAAAUUGAAAUUGAGACAUCUGACAUGGUACCGCUCUACAGUUUGAAGAGCCUUAGAUUGGAUUGUUCAAUAUAUUCUUGUACAUUUGCUUCCAAAACUAAAAGAUUUAUUGUUGGAGAGCUAAAACCCUGGCAAUUUUCUCUUCAAAAUCAGUUACUUUACAGACCCCUCACCACUGAAAUCUCAGAAAAUCCAAACAAUUCCACAGUCGCUUACCUCAUAAACUCAUGUGGCUUGUCGCCGGAAGGUGCCAUUUCAGCAGCCAAGUGGGUCGAGUUGCAGUCCCCAGAAAGAGCAGACUCUGUUUUGGCUCUUUUGAGAAACCAUGGACUCUCUGAAACCCAGAUCUCCAAGAUGGUGAGGUCGCGUCCACAACUUCUUUUAGCCAAUCCUGAGAAAACCCUUUUGCCCAAGCUUGCGUUUUUCAGCUCUCUUGGAAUUUCAAGGCAGGACCUUGCAAAAACUCUGGCUUUUAAUCCGAAGCUUUUGUCACGAAGCUUGAAGAAACAGAUCAUACCCACGUACAAUUUCCUUAGGAGUCUGGUUUCUGAGAAAAAGCUUGUUGCUAUUUUCAAGCAUAACUCGUGUAUUUUCGUGGAAAGUAACUGCAAUGUGUUGGCAAAUAUUGGACUUUUGAGAGAAUUGGGUAUGCCCCAAUCAUGCAUUUCUAUGUUGCUAGCUCACUACACUACCGUUUUGAUGAUAAAUCCUGAAAAUUUUGGUCAACUUGUGGGUGAGGUUAAGGAAAUGGGAUUUAAUCUGGAAAAGUCGACUUCAGUGAAUGCACUGCGUGCCUUGUGUGGUAAGAAUAAGCUGAUAUGGAAUCGAAGUCGAGAAGUUUUUAGGAGGUGGGGUUGGUCUGAGGAUGAUGUUCUCUCUGCUUUCAGGAAGAACCCGCAGUUUAUGAUUGUGUCGGAGAAGAAACUACUGCAGGCAAUGGACCUUUUAGUGAAUAAGAUGGGAUGGCCAUCAGAAAUGAUUGCCAAAUAUCCAGUGGUCCUGAGCCUCAGUUUGGAGAGGAGACUUAUUCCAAGGUGUUCGGUUGUUAAAGUUCUAUUGUCGAAAGGAUUGGUAAAUGAAAACUUGAAUUUAGGUUCUGUGUUGCUUCCUGCAGAGAAGGAGUUCUUGGGGAGGUUUGUAACCGGAUAUCUCAAAGAAGUACCGCAAUUGUGGGAUGUAUAUCAAGGGAAAGUGGAUAUCCAGGAUGUAUGAUAUUGAUACCUUGAAAUGGCUGAGCUUGUAUAUAGACUUACCCCCUGAAUAUCCAGAAUACAAUUGGAGAAUUUCCUGUUGCGGUGGAGUUGCCUUCCAUAAUCUGGAAAAUCCUUAGAACCUGAAACUAGAAGGUGAGUUCCAUCAGUUAGGAUAAAAAGAGAGGAGUGGUUGCUGGAAGCAUGAGCUUGUAACGGAGAAAAACUUAGCUGUAACCGGUUCACACAAGUUUUCUCCUUGCAAUGACAUGAUGUAUAUACAUAGCGAGGCUAGAGGGCCAUCACAUGUAGUGUUAACUGGUUAUGUAUUGUGGCAAUUGUGCCUUUGUUUUCGAUUACAAGUGAUGAUUGUGACCUAAACAUGAAUUCGUGUGUCAAAUAUUUUAGAGGUAUGUAGGAGAUUCUUCAUUGUUGUUCAAAUUGAAAUUGCUGGUUUGUACAAAAAGAGUUGCCCCUAAUGUGUGUGGCAGGUGUAACUUGCCGAAUGUAGGAAGCACCGUACAACUAUCCAACGAGCAAACGCAAGAUCACUUUCCAACGUUCUGCAAGAUGUGUGUGCCACUUUCCUGUACCUCCAUUUCCCAAAAAAGCUUCCAAAAAAAGGUUCCAAAGCCUUCUAACUCCUCCAAUAAAUAUAAAUAGACUUGAA